GAUGAAGUAGUACCUGGAUCGGCAACUCCUCGAUGUUUGUGACCACCGCUAGGUGGCAGUGGUGUCGAGCGCUAAGGACGCGGGGGAGCGGGUGCUAUUCAAAACAAUGGCCGGCGUCGCGUCGUGGGAUCGUUUGCCUUGUUUUUUGAAAAGUUAAGCCCCUUUGGAGCAGAUUGGAAGGUUUCAGAAGAUGGAGGAAGAUGGCAAGAUCAAAGAGAUGGGUUCAGUUUCCACGGUGUGCUGACUUGAGUUGGCAUCCUGUGAUUUGUGAUGUGAAUUAGGAUGCACGCACACGCAGGUGCACGCCCACUGCGGACACGUGUGACGUGACGGCAGCAGGCGGACGGGGUGUGAACUGGCUCGACCGAAAAUGUUUAAGUUAUCACAGCGUUUGUAACUGACUAACAUACCCACUACGCCCUAUACGGGCAUACCCAUUGAGCGGAUAAUGCGUUCGUGUGCAUCGUGUUUGCAUUUAUUCCCGAUAUACUCUGGUGGGAGAUGUGAAUUGGAAACCAACUUGGUGCUACGACACCGUUUAGUAGGCAUGUGGCACGUCGUUUCUCGAAACCUACCUAUCAGUUUAUGCAAUAAUAUGCAUUGUAUACAUUGUGUGUCAUCUUUCACCUUAGUUGUCAUUGAACCUGUGUUAAAUUCUGAACUUCAGGCCGAGACAGACUAUUUCCACAGUCAGGAAAUCGCACGCGAGAGCCUAUUCAAAUCCAUUAAGUUGCAAUAGCAUCAAUCGCAUGCAAGGAGGUGCGUGUUAUGGAUGCGAGUGCGACCGGGGUUUAUUUGAAUAGGCUCUCGGUCUCGCACAUGAUUUCUGACUGCGGAAAGAGUCGGUUUCAGCCUGUACUCAGUAGGCAAUUCGCUCAUGCGACGGCAAAUAUAAGUUCAAUAUGGAAA